rnacentral:lncRNA from 1 species
GUUUGAUGGCCUUGUGUCAUUCUCUCUAGCUUUUGCAACGACCACUGCUUUCUUUAUAGCACCAUCACCUAUUGCUAGUCGCCCAUGGGGCAUGCCACCACUGGAGGAGUACAUGACUUCUGGAUCGAGAUCACGGUCCUUCUAAUGUAGUGGAUCUGCUACUUUCAGAGCUGUGUAAUAGGUGUUCUGAAACAGUGAACAAUAACAAUAUCUCGCUAUUAAUUUCAGAUUAACAAGUUUCGAAGUUCUGAAGGCAGAGCAAACAUGCAUGAACUUACAAGACACUCGUUGACCUUAGUGUUGUUGAUGGGGCCACUUUC